AUUGAACGCUGGCGGCAGGCCUAACACAUGCAAGUCGAACGAGUGGCGGACGGGUGAGUAAUGUCUGGGAAACUGCCUGAUGGAGGGGGAUAACUACUGGAAACGGUAGCUAAUACCGCAUACCAUCGGAUGUGCCCAGAUGGGAUUAGCUAGUAGGGGGGGUAACGGCUCACCUAGGCGACGAUCCCCAGCUGGUCUGAGAGGAUGACCAGCCACACUGGAACUGAGACACGGUCCAGACUCCGACGGGAGGCAGCAGUGGGGAAUAUUGCGCAAUGGGCGCAAGCCUGAUGCAGCCAUGCCGCGUGAAUGAAGAAGGCCUUCGGGUUGUAAAGUACUUUCAGCGGGGAGGCGUUACCCGCAGAAGAAGCACCGGCUAACUCCGUGCCAGCCGCCGCGGUAAUUC
rnacentral:rRNA from 1 species